rnacentral:ncRNA from 2 species
UACGUAGGGAGCGAGCGUUGUCCGGAAUUACUGGGUGUAAAGGGAGCGUAGGCGGGAUUGCAAGUCAGAUGUGAAAUGUAUGGGCUUAACCCAUAAAUUGCAUUUGAAACUGUAGUUCUUGAGUGAAGUAGAGGUAAGCGGAAUUCCUAGUGUAGCGGUGAAAUGCGUAGAUAUUAGGAGGAACAUCAGUGGCGAAGGCGGCUUACUGGGCUUUAACUGACGCUGAGGCUCGAAAGCGUGGGGAGCAAACAGG